CGCGCAGGCGGGCUGGUCAGUCUGGGGUGAAAUCUCACGGCUCAACCGUGAGAGGUCCCUGGAUACUGCUAGCCUUGAGGGGCUCAGAGGAGAGUGGAAUUCCGGGUGUAGUGGUGGAAUGCGUAGAUAUCCGGAGGAACACCAGUGGCGAAAGCGGCUCUCUGGGGGCAACCUGACGCUGAGGCGCGAAGCGUGGGAGCGAACC
rnacentral:rRNA from 1 species